rnacentral:lncRNA from 1 species
GAUAGUCAGUAUGUAGUUAAUGCUAUAGUAUCUCUUGAAGAUGCUGGUAGGAUUUCCCCUUCUUCUACUGUUUUCUCUUUGUUUUCCACUAUACAAAGUCUAAUCUGGUACAGAAAAGAUCCAUUCUUCAUAGGACAUAUUAGGUCACAUACAGGAUUUCCUGGAGCCCUUAGUUUAGGCAAUGAUUUAGCAGAUAAAACUACACAUGACAUGCAUAUUUUCUCUACAUUUGAAGAAGCUACAAAUUUUCAUAAAAGGUUUCAUGUUAAUGCUAAUACUUUACAAAAGCGUUUUAAAAUAACUAAGGAACAAGCCAGACAUAUAAUAAAACAAUGUCAAAAUUGUGUGACAUUUUUACCACAAGUUAAUCUUGGAGUCAAUCCCAGAGGACUGAUACCUAACCAUAUUUGGCAGAUGGACGUCAUACACUUGCCAGAAUUUGGAAAAUUAAAAUAUUUACACGUUACAGUCGAUACUUCUUCCGGAUUUUUGAUGGGCUCCCUUCAUGCCAGAGAAAAAACUAAAGAUGUUCUAGCUCAUUGCUUACAAAAUUUUGCCACUGUGGGCGUUCCUAAACAGUUAAAAACCGAUAAUGGUCCUGGCUAUACCUCUACCUCUUUUAAACAAUUUUGCUCAUCAUUUGGUAUUACUCAUAUAACAGGAAUCCCAUACAAUCCACAGGGUCAAGGCAUAGUUGAAAGAGCUCAUCAAACUAUUAAAACAUACUUAUUAAAGCAAAAAGAGGGAAUUGGAAAGGGGUAUAUAUCCCCCAAAGAUAAACUUAAAAUAACGCUUUUUACUCUAAACUUUUUAAAUUUGGAUUCAUCAGGACUUAGUGCUGCGGAAAGGCACAUGUAUCCAAAAAAUGUACAUAAGCCUAAAGUACUUUGGAAAGAUAUUCUAACAGGACAAUGGAAAGGUCCUGACCCAGUGAUUGUCUGGAGUCGGGGCUCUGUUUGUGUUUUUCCACAGGGAGAACAGCAGCCGAUUUGGAUUCCAGAGAGAUUAACUAAAAUAAUUUCUACAGAUCAAAAAGAAGAUGAUUUGACUCAAAUCCAUAACAGCUGAUAUCCAGAACUCCAGCUUGGCCAUUCUUACAUCUGCAACAGUGAUUAACCAGGAUGCUUUUUUCAAUAGCUAUUUUAUUAUUGCAUUUUCCCACAUCAUAAAGUUCUAUUUUAUUUUUUGAGCUCAUACAAACCUAGGUUAAUGUUUUUCUGAUCAUUUUUAUUUUUUGACUGUGGAGUUUUUAAACAUUGCAAUGGAGAUUUCACCUAGAUAAAGCUACAAGGCCUUUACUAUUUCUUAUGUGUUGUACGUUUGUGUGCACUCUUGUGUUUUGUGUUGUAUGUCUGUAUGUGCAUAUGUCCAUAUUUCUUAUAUGAGGAGCGCUCUUGAAAAAAUGGAUCCGAAUUAUUAUUAUUUUUUUAUUCACGUGAUUUAAAUGGUUUAAUUUAAAUUAGGUAAACAGCUGUUAAGGAUUGUUUUUA